rnacentral:rRNA from 1 species
UACGGGAGGCAGCAGUGGGGGAUAUUGCACAAUGGGGGAAACCNUGAUGCAGCGANGCCGCGUGAGNGAAGAAGUAUUUNGGUAUGUAAAGCUUUAUCAGCAGGAAAGAUAAUGAC